rnacentral:rRNA from 1 species
AACGAACGCUGGCGGCAUGCCUAACACAUGCAAGUCGAACGAUUGCCUUCGGGUGAUAGUGGCGCACGGGUGCGUAACGCGUGGGAAUCUGCCCUUAGGUUCGGAAUAACAGCUGGAAACGGCUGCUAAUACCGGAUGAUAUCGCGAGAUCAAAGAUUUAUCGCCUGAGGAUGAGCCCGCGUUGGAUUAGGUAGUUGGCGGGGUAAAGGCCUACCAAGCCGACGAUCCAUAGCUGGUCUGAGAGGAUGAUCAGCCACACUGGGACUGAGACACGGCCCAGACUCCUACGGGAAGCAGCAGUGGGGAAUAUUGGACAAUGGGCGCAAGCCUGAUCCAGCAAUGCCGCGUGAGUGAUGAAGGCCCUAGGGUUGUAAAGCUCUUUUACCCGGGAAGAUAAUGACUGUACCGGGAGAAUAAGCCCCGGCUAACUCCGUG